rnacentral:rRNA from 1 species
AUGAACGCUAGCUACAGGCUUAACACAUGCAAGUCGAGGGGCAGCAUGGUCUUAGCUUGCUAAGGCCGAUGGCGACCGGCGCACGGGUGAGUAACACGUAUCCAACCUGCCGUCUACUCUUGGACAGCCUUCUGAAAGGAAGAUUAAUACAAGAUGGCAUCAUGAGUCCACAUGUUCACAUGAUUAAAGGUAUUCCGGUAGACGAUGGGGAUGCGUUCCAUUAGAUAGUAGGCGGGGUAACGGCCCACCUAGUCUUCGAUGGAUAGGGGUUCUGAGAGGAAGGUCCCCCACAUUGGAACUGAGACACGGUCCAAACUCCUACGGGAGGCAGCAGUGAGGAAUAUUGGUCAAUGGGCGAGAGCCUGAACCAGCCAAGUAGCGUGAAGGAUGACUGCCCUAUGGGUUGUAAACUUCUUUUAUAAAGGAAUAAAGUCGGGUAUGCAUACCCGUUUGCAUGUACUUUAUGAAUAAGGAUCGGCUAACUCCGUGCCAGCAGCCGCGGUAAUACGGAGGAUCCGAGCGUUAUCCGGAUUUAUUGGGUUUAAAGGGAGCGUAGAUGGAUGUUUAAGUCAGUUGUGAAAGUUUGCGGCUCAACCGUAAAAUUGCAGUUGAUACUGGAUAUCUUGAGUGCAGUUGAGGCAGGCGGAAUUCGUGGUGUAGCGGUGAAAUGCUUAGAUAUCACGAAGAACUCCGAUUGCGAAGGCAGCCUGCUAAGCUGCAACUGACAUUGAGGCUCGAAAGUGUGGGUAUCAAACAGGAUUAGAUACCCUGGUAGUCCACACGGUAAACGAUGAAUACUCGCUGUUUGCGAUAUACUGCAAGCGGCCAAGCGAAAGCGUUAAGUAUUCCACCUGGGGAGUACGCCGGCAACGGUGAAACUCAAAGGAAUUGACGGGGGCCCGCACAAGCGGUGGAGUAUGUGGUUUAAUUCGAAGCAACGCGAAGAACCUUACCAGGGCUUGACAUAUAGAUGAAUAACUAAGAGAUUAGUUAGUCCUUCGGGACAUCUAUACAGGUGGUGCAUGGUUGUCGUCAGCUCGUGUCGUGAGAUGUUGGGUUAAGUCCCGCAACGAGCGCAACCCCUGUUUCUAGUUGCCAGCAUGUAAAGAUGGGAACUCUAGAAAGACUGCCGUAGAUAAUACGGAGGAAGGUGGGGAUGACGUCAAAUCAUCAUGCCCCUUAUGAUUUGGGCUACACACGUGCUACAAUGGCGUAAACAAAGGGAAGCAAAGCCGCGAGGUGGAGCAAAUCCCCAAAAUUCGUCUCAGUUCGGAUUGCAGGCUGCAACUCGCCUGCAUGAAGUUGGAAUUGCUAGUAAUCGUAGAUCAGCAUGCUACGGUGAAUACGUUCCCGGGCCUUGUACACACCGCCCGUCACACCAUGAGAGUUGGGAAUACCCGAAGCCUGUAAGCUAACGCAAGAGGCAGCAGUCGAAGGUAGAAUCAAUGAUUGGGGUG